GUGCCCUCCCAUCAUCCCACUCCUGCAUCCAGCAACCCGAUCGCAAUCUUAGCUCCUUGCACAUUAGGGAAUCUGCACAAAAGCUGUGCUUGAGCGUGUGCAUGCUGCCUUACAAUAAUUAUCAGGAACUUGAGGAAAAUAAUAAUAAUAAUAAUAAUAAAAUCCUCUCAAGUACAUUUAUUACAGUAAAAAUAAGGUAACAGGGCAGAUUAUGGUCAAAACUUGUACCUGCCAGAGCGAUUAGGAUCACACACAUUUUGUGCAUGCUGCAGCAAUAUAAAAACUACUCUGAAGUAUCACAGGAUUUAAUAAUAAAGAUAUAAAUUUAGAUUUUUUAUUUAUUUUUUUCCAGUAUUUUUAUCUGCACCAGAUCCGCCGGCACGUCUUCCCAACAGCACUCACCCCCGCUGCAACACCCCCCCAGAAAAACCCUUCAGCUUGCAACUUCGCCUGGAGAAAGGCAACAGCUAUAAAAAAACCCGAAAAGCUGAUAGGAUUUGUAUUUCAGUCAUCGUGGUCCAAUUGUCAGAACAAGGGAAAGAAGCUACCGUUUUCAGGAUAUGCAUUGUGCUGGGCUCCAAGGCAGAAACAUUAAGGAUCUGAGCAAUGCUCCAGGUUCGUGGUGGGCUAGAGGCAUUCUACCGAUACCACCUGGAGGUAGAGUUAAAUCCCCAGUCAUUAAUACUUGUGCCGAUGUUUUUUUGCUCCAGCAAAAAUCUAGAUGGCACAUCAAUCCCUCUCUAAUUUAGAAAGGGAACAAAAUCACUGGAAAAAAAUCUGUGAAACAAAAAUACUUCAAUAAAAAUAUUUUCUCCAGCAAAUGCCCUGGCAUCAAAGGAAUAGCUCUGGACAGCACCAGAUGUGUGUGGAAGGUACCAUGUCUGGAUAUUCAGCACAGUACUGGCAAUGUUGCUGUUGGCAGGAUGCUAUUGUCACAGUGGCAUACCUCUCAAUGCCCAGCAGGUGGAAGCAAAAUUUAAGAGG